ACGCCCAUGGUCCAGUGGAAGGACAUCUCCCUGCGGAGGAGAAGGCCGUUGGUUCGAGUCCAGCCGGGGGUG
rnacentral:tRNA from 1 species